rnacentral:rRNA from 1 species
GAUGAACGCUGGCGGCGUGCCUAACACAUGCCAGUCGAGCGAGAAGUUUUGAAAAGAUUCUUCGGAUGAAAUUUAAAAUGGAAAGCGGCGGACGGGUGAGUAACGCGUAGGCAACCUGCCCCAUACAAAGGGAUAGCAUUUGGAAACGAAUAUUAAUACCUUAUGAAACUUAACUAGUGCAUGCUAGGUAGGUCAAAGAUUUAUCGGUAUGGGAUGGGCCUGCGUCUGAUUAGCUAGUUGGUGAGGUAACGGCUCACCAAGGCGACGAUCAGUAGCCGACCUAAUGAGGUGAACGGCCACAUUGGAACGGAGGCACGGUCCAAACUCCUUCGGGAAGCAGCAGAGGGGAAUAUUGCACAAUGGGGGAAACCCUGAUGCAGCAACGCCGCGUGAACGAUGAAUGUCUUUGGGGCGUAAAGUUCUGUUCUAGGUGAUGAAAACUGACAGUAACCUAAGAGAAAGCCCCGGCUAACUCCGUG